AAAAAAAAAAAAAAAAAGGUUGGGAAAUAUUGGUGUAUAAUCCCCAUGUCUAACAAGGAAGAAGUCAAAAGCAAAAGAUAGUGGUAUUGCCGAAAACUCAUUAUUUCUAGUUAGUUCAUCUGUGGAAAAGGAUAUCGUUCUUGAGGAGAGGGGUUCUAUUAUGCUAUAGUUUUCUAUGGAAAUGUACAAAUGCUUUCCUCAUUGCUCUGGAUGACUAUUUAGUUUAAAUAAUAUACCUUUGUCAUGGGGAAGACCAUGAUUGUGGCUUCUUCUACCCCAACUUUGAAUGAGAGAGCACUGUAAGCAGAAACUGCCAUCAGUCUCCUGGGCAGGACCUGGAGGUAACUUUCUGAGCUGUAAAAUAGUAAUUCCUAAGAGAGCUUACAAACUGCUUCCACACAGAAAAUAGCGCAGGGAGGACAGUUAUUAGUACCCCUAUUCUAGAAGAGAAAGCUGAGGCUCAAGCCAUUAAGUGACUUGCCAAAAGCUGUGACAUAGCUGGGAAGUGGCAAAUCCACAUGUGUACUGCGGUCUUUAGAGAUCAUUUAGAGCUUGCACACAUCUGUGUCUUCUUGUGGGAAACCUCUAGGUAUUCUGUCUGAUCAGCACUGUGAGGAAGUUGGUGGGAAAAGGCCACUGAUAAGAACAAACAAUGGGCAGAAGGAAGCACAUUGCAAUAAAUUUCCCCAGAGAGAGUUCCUUUACAUUCCAUUCACCAAAAACCUCUCUGGAACUGUCAGGUUCAGAAUAUCAACCAAGACCAUAUCAUUUAGAAUUCAUUGGCAUGUAGAGGUGACUCGAUUCCUAAAAGAAGCCUCUCUCCCAUGAACCACGAUGUACGUUCCACAGAGGCAGAAACCGCCGUAGGUUAGCAAUGCAUUUUAGUCUUUCUCUCCAUUCACAUUUACUGAGAGCACACCACGUGCAUGUUGCUGCAACAGGCAUUUCCGAUAGAGCCGAUCCAUGAGCUAACAAUGUCUGAAAACAAAUGUUAUGGAACUGUUGGCAUUUCUGAGAUUUGGCCUUUGCCAUUUGAUAGACUUUGCUUCCCAGGAUGCUGUCAUUUUGUGAUUUUUUAUAAUUACAAGGAAUUUGGUACCAUGUUGUUUUCAAAAAACCUCCUAGAAAGUCUCCAUGUAUGCUCUAGAAGUUGCUCUACGUAACAGUUCAGCAAGCAAGUGUUCCUUCUCUUGAGCUGCGUCCCUCAGGAAGCUGUACCUUUAGGGUGUGCUUUCCACUUUUUAUUUCCUCUCAUUUCACUCCUUUCAUUGUUUGCUAUAUCCUAAAAUAUGUGAAGUGAGAGAAAAAAUAUCAUUUCUUCUCAUUAAAUCUCCUGCAUUAAAUCUAAGAAUCCUUUAAAAUAAUCACACCUGAUAAGUGUUUUAUGCAUUUCCCUCCCUGGAGUGUUAUCAUCCAUCAAGCCAGUAUCAUCAUCCACCUGCUUAUUCCUUGGGACUAAUGAGAGCCAAGUUAAAUAGCAAAUGACUUCUCACCCCUUCCUAGUCCUCAUGCCUGAGGAAUAAGGGCGACAUUAAUGGGAGCGGGAGAGUGGUGGCUUUGGUUGAGAUGCACGUUCACAGACUAGAAAAGUGCCUCACCUCCAUGGUGUAUAUGUGCCACCUUUUCUUAAUCCAGUCUAUCAUUGUUGGACAUUUGGGUUGGUUCCAAGUCUUUGCUAUUGUGAAUAGUGCCGCAAUAAACAUAAGUGUGCAUGUGUCUUUAUAGCAGCAUGAUUUAUAAUCCUUUGGGUAUAUACCCAGUAAUGGGAUGGCUGGGUCAAAUGGUAUUUCUAGUUCUAGAUCCCUGAGGAAUCUCCACACUGACUUCCACAAUGGUUGAACUAGUUCACAGUCCCACCAACAGUGUAAAAGUGUUCUUAUUUCUCCACAUCCUCUCCAGCACCUGUUGUUUCCUGACUUUUUAAUGAUUGCCAUUCUAACUGGUGUGAGAUGGUAUCUCAUAGUGGUUUUGAUUUGCAUUUCUCUGAUGGCCAGUGAUGGUGAGCAUUUUUUCAUGUGUUUCUUGGCUGCAUAAAUGUCUUCUUUUGAGAAGUGUCUGUUCAAUACUAUGCAGCCAUAAAAAAUGAUGAGUUCAUGUCCUUUGUAGGGACAUGGAUGAAAUUGGAAAUCAUCAUUCUCAGUAAACUAUCUCAAGGACAAAAAACCAAACACCACAUGUUCUCACUCACAGGUGGGAAUUGAACAAUGAGAACACAUGGACACAGGAAGGGGAACAUCACACUCUGGGGACUGUUGUGGGGUGGAGGGAGGAGGGAGGGAUAGCAUUAGGAGAUAUACCUAAUGCUAAAUGACGAGUUAAUGGGUGCAGCACACCAGCAUGGCACAUGUAUACAUAUGUAACUAACCUGCACAUUGUGCACAUGUACCCUAAAACUUAAAGUAUAAUAAUAAUGAAAUAAAAUUAAAAAAAAAAAAGAAAAGUGCCUCACCUCCCUGUGAGGCUUGAUGAAUAUUGUGGCCAGUGAGUGGAAAAUGAUUCUUGUCGAAUAGACAGAGUAUUCCCACCCCAGGAAUGGAUUAAUAGAAGACACAAUUUGAGCACUUCUCAGAAUUAUCUAGUAUGCCUGAGUAGAGACUCACAUGGGUGGAAUCUGUGUUGUCUCAUCAGAGGGAAUAAAAAGACAAUGAGGUGGUAAAUGUGAAAAAAGCAGCCUUUUAGAAAAACAUUAUUUUCAAAUACCUUUAUAAAUCAUCUAAUUUAUCUUCACAUAAUAUAAAGAAAAAACUAAUAAAAAUUUUCGUAUUUCACUUUACAUAAUAUGUUCUCCCAUAUUUAGGGAUCAUACAAUUGUAUUGUCUUCAAAACACACACACACACACAUACACACACACACACACACACACACACACCCCUUCCAAGAAAGCUGAUCCUUCAGAAAAUAAAUCUUAUUUUUAAGCACUUGGGUUUUCAGGCCAGAAAAUUAAUAAAUCCUAAACCUGACCCAUUUUUGUAACAGCUAAAAAGGAGAAGAAAAAGCUAGUUAAAUUUUGUGUGGAUCCAUUUAUCUCUUAAAAUAUGCCAAAGCAAUUUGAGGUGGGGGUGGAAACAGGUAUUUAUCUCUCAUGCGUGAUUCUCUCUUUAUAUUUCUAUCUGUUGGGAAAAGGGUAAAGAACUAUUCUUGGUCAUUAUUGAUGUAUUGUGUUGCCACUUUGUAUGGUGCCUGCUGUGCUUUAUCCCGAGGCAUAGCAGUAAUCGUUACUAUCUUGACUCUUUCCUUCAUCACAAGAGAGUAAAUAUGAAGUCUGAAUGUCGUUCCUCACCCCCAAAUUGUUUAACUCUGCUUCCAAACUAGUUUAAGAAAUGCAAAAUGGGAAGAGCUAGCUUUUCUUAGAUACAUUUCUUCCUUUUUUAUUCUUUCUUGGGAGACGUUAAGUAUAAAAGGGAAAAAGUCAGUUCCUUCUUCUCUCUCUUUCUCUUUGGGUGACAGCAAUGCUCACUUAGUAAUUAUAAACUGGAAAUAGGAGAGUAGCUUGAGCAGGUUAUGAUAUAUCUGCCCAAUGUGUUUCAUUCCUUCAAACAUAAACUUUGAGAGUAAAAGAGAUUUUUAUAAUUUAAAUGCCAACGACAGGAAUGGCCUCAUGUUUUAACUUUCAAAUAAUAAAUGGGGAGUUGGUAUUUGGGCAGAGUUUGCAUUUUACUAAUCCUAUAUACUUUGAGCUUAGUUUUUAGAAUUGUGUCAAAUACAUCAACAUAUCAGGAUUAUAGUGCCAAAAAUAGUUAAAGUGCCUUGGUCCUCCCUCUGUAGGCAGCAAAUUGAAACUAACAUGGGACCAUGCCAUCCUUCUAGCAUAAUGGAGAAGUCUGAACUGAGGAGUAUCUUUGAUGAAAGACAUUUAGGACCCUAGAAACUAAAUCUUGUCACCAAGACUUUAUAGUAAAGUAGUAGCAAAAUUAUUUUUAAAAGACUUUCUUCCUUUUACUACCCAUUUCCUCUCUUGGGAAAGCUGAUGAGCAAAUUAUCCAAGACUCAUUUCUUUAUUAGGCAAAGUCAGAAUAUUUCCCCUCUGAAAAUCUGAAUUAUGCCCUCAUUCUUUUUCAAGAAAUAUCUCAAAGAGCAAAUAGAAUUAAACAUGACACUUGAUUGUCUGAUUAUUUGGCAUGUAUAAAAUUAUCAUGUGGCUUAAUGUGCCUUAAGUGAAAAUUUAAACUUAGACCUGAAACCUUUACAGUUGGAUGUAGCGUUGAGCUUUUGCAUGUUUUCUGUAUAAUAAACCACUUUUGUUUUGUUUGUUUUGUCUUUUAACCUACACCUUUAUCAUUACUCUAACAGAUUUAGGGCUUCUCUUUCUCUACAGCUAAGUAAGGGAAUAUGUGCAAUUAUGAGACAUACAAAAAAGGAAAGGGAAAGGACUUUCUAAGUAGCAAAUCUGUGCCAUGAAGUAGAUGUGGCGUGAAGAUACAGAGCCUGAGGAUAGUAAUUUUCCCUGAGCCACGCACACAGGCUUUUAUUUCAUGCCUUUUCUCUUUCUGUGCCGUCACCUUUGAGAAAAACGAUUGCACCUUCUCCAAGUCUGCCUUUUUAACAGCUACAGUUAAGUUGGCAAGACUUCCCCAGCUCUGAAUAUAGCCAUUUGCCGACUCCGGCCUCUUUGCGAGACUGACUCAAAUCUGUGAUCUUCUGUUCAGCAUACACAUCAGCAAAGUGAGAAGAUGAGCACUAAAUAUAGGCUCUAUUAACUUUACUUUUAGAUUUACUGCCUUCAAAAAGUGCCUAUUCUGAGCAACAUAAACGUUAUUCCUUACAUAUGUAUGUACACACGGUACCCAGAGUCGUACUGUGCAGCCUUCAAAAACAUACCAUCAGAAAGAGUAGGUGCUGAGAUAAGGAAACUUUGCCAAAUGAAAGAAAGUCACUCACUUCCAAUAUCCCCUCUCAAGCGGCUACCGUGAAACGGGCUGCAAACACAUUCCCUGAGCAUCCCUUGCUGAUACAGCUUCUUUAUAUUUAUAUCCUACUGGAUGGUAGCAUAUUGCUAAGGUUUCCUGUACUCUGCUUCAAGGGAAUGUAAGCUUUAUGGCAUUGAAACAUUUAGGGAAAAAAAAGAUGUUUAAGAGAAUUAAUAGAGCCGUAGUCUGUAUUAGGAUGUGUGUCAUAUGUGUGUUCUAUAAACUAAGCAUCGGUGGGUUUAGAGUGUUAAAGUGUCAGCACAUUCCUUCUCCUUUUGUCUCUCAGGCUAACAUGAGAGAAAAUAGAAAAGUCUUGGCUGUGGGGAUUGGAAGCUCAGGGGGCCAAAUGUCCUUGCCAGAUCCUUAGAGCAUUACUUUGACUCCUAAAAAUAGUAGUGUAUGUUAUUUGAUGGCUUUUGUUUCCAUAGUUCCAUCACUGACAAAACUGUCAAUACUGUUGAUGGAGCAGCAGCAUAGCCUAGAGUGAUGCAUUCUUACCCAGAGGUGGCAAUAGGAGAGGGUCCAUGUAAAUAGGACGAGGUAGACAGUGCAUGAUUGUAGGAGAAGGGUUGAAGGGAGGACAUGAUUCCAAAAAAGAUCGUUCUCAAUGUGUCGUCUGACUCAACCAGCUGGCAGAUUACACUUGCCAAGUCGUUCCCUUUCCUUCUAAGUCAGUUGGCUCCAUAUUCACUUGAAUAUGCCUCUGUUUGGGCAAAGCAAGAUACCUCCACUUAACCUUUAUCCAAGGAAGCUCUUGGUGUCCUCUUGGUCAUAAAGUUGUCUCCUACCUAACCCAGUUUUACCAAAUGGAAGUAAAAGGGGACAAACUAUGGAAGAUGGACUCCAUGCCAUUGCAGUCAGCCACCAUUCUCUUUUCCAUAUAAGGAGCCCCAUUACAUAAGCUACGGGUGAGGUUGGAACAGCUAUGUUUCAUAAUUUCAAGAGUGUGACCACCCUGCUCUAGUCAUCAUCAUUGGAUGAAUCCAGUUGACUCUUUGGCAAAAGGGUGAUACUUUUCACUAAAAAUGCCUACUCUUCCUGUUGAUGUUCCUUUUCUGUUUUUACCUUGUCCAAUUUCCACACUAGUCAUUUUUUUUAUUUUUUAGAGGAUCAGAUUUUAGCGCUGGAAAAUGAGUUCAAAAAUUUCAGUGUAAUGUCAUAAGGAUGUUGGGAUACAGAGAUUUUUUUUUUCCUUGGAAACAAAUGGACUGGGAAGAAACACAGCAUGGCUUUGCUCUGAGUUUCAAUCUGAUGAUUAUGACCAUGGAAGAUAGUCUUAUGUAAAGGUUAAAUGGUGUUUACAAGUGGAUAGAUAAGGCGGAGAUGGUGAGAAGCCGGGUUUUCUCUAUGCUAAAUGUGUCUACUAAGAGCAGCACUUCCUACUAGCUAAGCACAAUCAUAGCCCCACCGUGAUGAGCUGCUAGUCUGAAUAACAUUCCCUGACUUAGGGAAAGGCACACAAAAACAUAUAAAGAAUAUGUCUAUUUUCAUAUGUGUGAUACUGACAGAGCCAUGGUAUUCCUAAAAUAUAGGUUUCUCUUUUUUCUUGUAUUCUUAGCAAAUUGCAUUUAUUCACUACAUUACAAACCAUCACUGAUGUAUCCAAAAUAGCACACAUAGUUCAGUAUGAAAAUAAGAGAAUAAAAUCUGUUAUAAGCAAGUGAUUUAGGUAUUUUCUUUUGUGUUUAUGCAUUAUCUGACUAUAUUAAAACCUGUUUUUCUAUUUACCUUCUAUCAGUUUUCUCUACCAAUUAUGUUUUUUCAAUGCUCUAUAAGAAUGAAUAUGGAAAUUAUAUUUCUUUUUUCUGUAAAAGAGUUGCAACUACUUUAUUAUAUUUAGAAA
rnacentral:lncRNA from 10 species